GAUGAAUAACGUAGCGAAAUGCGAUACUUGGUGUGAAUUGCAGAAUCCCGUGAACCAUCGAGUCUUUGAACGCAAGUUGCGCCCGAAGCCGUCAGGCCGAGGGCACGCCUGCCUGGGCGUCACACGCCGUUGCCCCCCCGCGCCCCGCACCCAACGCUUUGGGAGCGACCGCGGGGCGGGCUGAUGAUGGCCUCCCGUGCGCUCCGCCGCGCGGUUGGCCCAAAUACCGAGUCCCCGGCGACGUGCGCCACGACGAUCGGUGGUUGAGAGACCUCUGUCGCAAGUCGUGCGCGCCCGUCGCGUCACGCGGGCUCGCAUAGCGCCUCGCGCCGCACCCGGUGCGGAGCUUUCAACGCGACCCCAGGUCAGGCGGGGUUACCCGCUGAAUUUAAGCAUAUCAAUAAGCGGAGGA
rnacentral:misc_RNA from 1 species